rnacentral:rRNA from 1 species
AUUGAACGCUGGCGGCAUGCCUUACACAUGCAAGUCGAACGGCAGCACGGGUGCUUGCACCUGGUGGCGAGUGGCGAACGGGUGAGUAAUACAUCGGAACGUACCUUAUCGUGGGGGAUAACGCAGCGAAAGCUGUGCUAAUACCGCAUACGCCCUGAGGGGGAAAGCGGGGGAUCGCAAGACCUCGCGCGAUUUGAGCGGCCGAUGCCUGAUUAGCUUGUUGGUGGGGUAAAAGCCCACCAAGGCGACGAUCAGUAGCUGGUCUGAGAGGACGAUCAGGCACACUGGGACUGAGACACGGCCCAGACUCCUACGGGAGGCAGCAGUGGGGAAUUUUGGACGAUGGGGGCAACCCUGAUCCAGCAAUGCCGCGUGAGUGAAGAAGGCCUUCGGGUUGUAAAGCUCUUUUGUCAGGGAAGAAACACCGGCUCUAACACAGUCCGGGAAUGACGGUACCUGAAGAAUAAGCACCGGCUAACUACGUGCCAGCCGCCGCGGUAA